CAAACAGUGUGGUCAGUAAGUCAAGGAAAGAAAACUUGCUGAGAAUUUUUUUCCAAGCUUGGAGAACUUAACAAUCUUUGUGUGCACACUCAAACGACCCAGAGGCUGUGUUCACUCAAAGGUCAUUCGUUUCCCCUCAAAACGUCCCAAGCGCUGACUGAGCUAUUUCCAAGG